rnacentral:rRNA from 1 species
UACGGAGGGUGCGAGCGUUGUCCGGAAUCAUUGGGCGUAAAGGGCGCGUAGGUGGCCACUUCAAGCGUGCGGUGAAAGUCGGGGGCUCAACCCCUGAUCGGCCGUGCGAACUGGGGGGGCUGGAGCACUGUAGAGGCAGGCGGAAUUCCGGGUGUAGCGGUGGAAUGCGUAGAGAUCCCGGAAGAACACCGGUGGCGAAGGCGGCCUGCUGGGCAGUUUUGCUGACACUGAGGCGCGACAGCGUGGGGAGCAAACAGGG